CCUGGUCCGUGAUGACUCCUCUCUGGAGACUGUUGGAUGAGUCCUGCGGAUAUGGGGCUGAGGCCAGGC
rnacentral:snoRNA from 1 species